rnacentral:rRNA from 1 species
UACGGAGGAUGCAAGCGUUAUCCGGAAUGAUUGGGCGUAAAGCGUCCGCAGGUGGCAAUGUAAGUCUGCUGUUAAAGAGUGAGGCUCAACCUCAUAAGAGCAGUGGAAACUACAUAGCUAGAGUGCGUUCGGGGCAAAGGGAAUUCCUGGUGUAGCGGUGAAAUGCGUAGAGAUCAGGAAGAACACCGGUGGCGAAAGCGCUUUGCUAGGCCGCAACUGACACUGAGGGACGAAAGCUAGGGGAGCGAACAGG